rnacentral:misc_RNA from 1 species
GAUGAAGAACGCAGCGAAAUGCGAUAAGUAAUGUGAAUUGCAGAAUUCAGUGAAUCAUCGAAUCUUUGAACGCACCUUGCGCUCCUUGGUAUUCCGAGGAGCAUGCCUGUUUGAGUGUCAUGAAAUUCUCAACCUUUUCAGCUUUCUUUGUUGAUCAGGCUUGGAUGUGGGAGUAUGCGGGCUUCUCAGAAGUCGGCUCUCCUGAAAUGCAUUAGCGGGACCUUUGUUGCCUGUCUUUGGUGUGAUAAUUAUCUACGCCAUUGUAGUCAAGCAGCUUAAAAUGAGGUUUCAGCUUCUAACCGUCUCCCCUGUGACAACUUUUUGACAAUUUGACCUCAAAUCAGGUAGGACUACCCGCUGAACUUAAGCAUAUCAAUAAGCGGAGGA